rnacentral:lncRNA from 1 species
UUUGUAGUGGGGUUAGCUGGCUAAUUUUAGAGUGUUAAAAAAGAUGUUAGAGGGGGAGGAUUUAGGUGGCACGGCGGUUCCCCUUCAGGUCUCUCUUAAUCCUCAAUAUAGGUGACCCAACAGGGGUUACCCCCCGGCCGGUGUAGGCCGAGGCUGAAGAUCACCUAUUUGUCCUCUGUGAAGGUGAAAAUAAAUGGGCAGGGGAGGGAAUAAGAAAGAGGGGGGGUGUUAGAGAGAGGGGGAGAGAUGAGGGAGAGAGAUGAGGGAGAGAGAGAGAGAGAGAGAGAGAGAGAGAGAGGGAAGAGGGAGAGGGGGGUUUAAGGGAGAGGUGGAGAUGGUGGAAAAUAAAGAUUGGUGAGGGGGAUUUGGUGGCGGAUGAAACAUCCCAUAGCUCCCCAGCUCUCACCAUCCAUGUGAGGAGAGUGAGCAAGGGACAUAGUCACCCGACCCGACUAGGUCUAGGCUCUGCUCUCCUCACGGUCCUCACAAGAUACAAAGAGAUAUGUAAACGUGGAAGUGAGAGUUCUCUAGGCAGAGUUUUGGGUUUGGUUUGAGCUGAGUUGGUCAGUUGAUUAUUGAUUACUAUUUUAAGUUCUAAAAGUGGAUUGAGUCAAAAAGUCACAGAGGAUUGUGGUGGGAGCAGGUGGUCCAUCUGGCACCAUUCUGCUCAUGCAGGGAUUCGAGUGAUAGAAAGAGAAUAGAUCUUGCAACCGUGACUCGCCAUUGAGAUUCUCCUCACCUGCUGGUUUUCAUCCUCUGAUAGGAGAGAGAGGUACAGAUCAGGAGAGAGGGAGAAAAGGAGGGAGGCAGGGUGGGGUCAGGAGUUAAUUUGUCUUGAAAAGUAUUUAUCUUUUCGUCAUUGCUGUUAGGGUUUAGAUGUUUUUUGUUUAGUUUUCUGAGGAAUGUAGUGUUAGUAUAGGUUCCAAGGUGGAGGAUUCUUUGGAAUUCACUCUCACCCUUGAAACUGGAAGAGGAGCAUGUUUCAGACCUUUUGGAGUUGGUUACACCAAAAAAAAUGUAAAAUGAAAAAAAAAUUUUUUUGGGUGUUCGGGCUUCCUGAAGGUAAUACUAGGUUUCUGGGCUUGGGUAAGGUUUAAGGUUUUGGGCGUUAGGGUUAAAAUCACUGUCCAAAACCUUUGUAGGAACUCUUUUCCAACCUUUUGGAGUUAGUUAGACAAAAAAAAAAAGAUGAAUGAAAAAAAAAUAUUUGGGGUGUUCGGGCUUCCUGAAGGUAAUACCCAGGUAUUAGGUUUUGGGGCUAGGGUUAGGUUUAAGGUUUUUGGCGUUAGGUUUAAAAUAACUGUCCAAUAUUUUUUAAGGAACAUGUUUCAGACCUUUGGGAGUUAGUUAGACAAAAAAAAAGAAAAAGAAAAAAAAAUAUUUGGGGUGUUCGGGUUUCCUGAAGGUAAUACCCGGGUAUUAGGUUAUGGGGCUAGGGUAAGGUUUAAGGUUUUUGGCGUUAGAGUUAAAAUCAGUGUCCAAAACCUUUUUAGGAACAUGUUUAAGACCUUUUGGAGUUGGUUACACCAAAAAAAAUGUAAAAUGAAAAAAAAAAAUAUUUGGGGUGUUCGGGCUUCCUGAAGAUAAUACCCGGGUAUUAGGUUAUGGUGCUAGGGUAAGGUUUAAGGUUUUUGGCGUGAGGGUUAAAAUCACUGUCCAAAACCUUUGUAGGACCUCUUUUCCAACCUUUUGAUGUAAGUUAGACAAAAAAAAACGAAUUUUGAAAAUCAAAUAUUUGGGGUUUUUGGGCUUCCUGAAGGUAAUACCCGGGUAUUAGGUUAUGGGGCUUUGGAAAGGUUUAAGGUUUUUGGCGUUAGGGUUAAAAUCACUGUCCAAUAUUUUUUAAGGAACAUGUUUCAGACCUUUUGGAGUUAGUUAGACCAAAAAAAAAGAAAAGAAAAAAAAAUAUUUGGGGUUUUCGGGCUUCCUGAAGGUAUUAGGUUUUGGGGCUAGGGUAAGGUUUAAGGUUUUUGGCGUUAGGGUUAAAAUCACUGUCCAAAACCUUUUAAGGAACAAGAUUCAGACCUUUUGGAGUUGGUUACACCAAAAAAAAAUGUAAAAUGAAAAAAAAAAAUUUGGGGUGUUCGGGCUUCCUGAAGGUAAUACCCGGGUAUUAGGUUAUGGGGCUAGGGUAAGGUUUAAGGUUUUUGGCGUAAGGGUUAAAAUCACUGUCCAAAACCUUUUUAGGAACAUGUUUCAGACCUUUUGGAGUUGGUUACACCAAAAAAAAUUGUAAAAUGAAAAAAAAAUUUUGGGGGGUGUUCGGGCUUCCUGAAGGUAAUACUAGGUUUCUGGGCUAGGGUAAUGUUUAAGGUUUUUGGCGUUAGGGUUAAAAUCAAUGUCCAAAACCUUUGUAGGAACUCUUUUCCAACCUUUGAGAGCAAGUUAGACCAAAAAAAAAAGAAAAAUAAAAAAUAUAUAUUUGGGGUGUUCGGGCUUCCUGAAGGUAAUACCCGGGUAUUGGGUUUUGGGGCUAGGGUUAGGUUUAAGGUUUUUGGUGUUAGGAUUAAAAUCAAUGUCCAAAACCUUUGUAGGAACUCUUUUCCAACCUUUGAGAGCAAGUUAGACCAAAAAAAAAAGAAAAAGAAAAAAUAUAUAUUUGGGGUGUUCGGGCUUCCUGAAGGUAAUACCCGGGUAUUAGGUUUUGGGGCUAGGGUUAGGUUUAAGGUUUUUGGCGGUAGGGUUAAAAUAACUGUCCAAUAUUUUUUAAGGAACAUGUUUCAGACCUUUGGGAGUUAGUUAGACAAAAAAAAAAAGAAAAAGAAAAAAAAAAUAUUUGGGGUGUUCGGGUUUCCUGAAGGUAAUACCCGGGUAUUAGGUUAUGGGGCUAGGGUAAGGUUUAAGGUUUUUGGCGUUAGAGUUAAAAUCAGUGUCCAAAACCUUUUUAGGAACAUGUUUAAGACCUUUUGGAGUUGGUUACACCCAAAAAAAUGUAAAAUGAAAAAAAAAAAAAAAAUUGGGUUUUUUGGGCUUCCUGAAGGUAAUACCCGUAUAUUAGGUUAUGGUGCUAGGGUAAGGUUUAAGGUUUUUGGCCUGAGGGUUAAAAUCACUGUCCAAAACCUUUGUAGGACCUCUUUUCCAACCUUUUGGUGUAAGUUAGACCAAAAAAAAACGAAAAUUGACAAACAAAUAUUUGGGGUUUUUGGGCUUCCUGAAGGUAAUACCCGGGUAUUAGGUUAUGGGGCUUUGGAAAGGUUUAAGGUUUUUGGCGUGAGGGUUAAAAUCACUGUCCAAAACCUUUGUAGGAAGUCUUUUCCAACCUUUUGGAGUUAGUUAGACCAAUAAAAAAAUGAAAAAUGAAAAAAAAAAAUUUGGGGUGUUCGGGCUUCCUGAAGGUAAUACCCGGGUAUUAGGUUUUGGGGCUAGGAUUAGGUUUAAGGUUUUUGGUGUUAGGGUUAAAAUCACUGUCCAAUAUUUUUUAAGGAACAUGUUUCAGACCUUUUGGAGUUAGUUAGACCAAAAAAAAAGAAAAGAAAAAAAAAUAUUUGGGGUUUUCGGGCUUCCUGAAGGUAUUAGGUUUUGGGGCUAGGGUAAGGUUUAAGGUUUUUGGCGUUAGGGUUAAAAUCACUGUCCAAAACCUUUUAAGGAACAAGAUUCAGACCUUUUGGAGUUGGUUACACCAAAAAAAAUGUAAAAUGAAAAAAAAAAUAUUUGGGGUGUUCGGGCUUCCUGAAGGUAAUACCCUUCAGGUUUAAGUAUUAGGUUUUGGGGCUAGGGUAAGGUUUAAGGUUUUUGGCGUAAGGGUUAAAAUCACUGUCCAAAACCUUUGUAGGAACUCUUUUCCAACCUUUUGGAGUUAGUUAGACCAAAAAAAAGGAAAAAAGAAAAAAAUAUAUUUGGGGUGUUCGGGCUUCCUGAAGGAAAUACCCAGGUAUUAGGUUAUGGGGCUAGGGUAAGGUUUAAGGUUUUUGGCGUUAGGGUUGAAAUCACUGUCCAAAACCUUUUAAGGAACACGUUUCAGACCUUUUGGAGUUGGUUACACCAAAAAAAAAUGUAAAAUGAAAAAAAAUAUAUUUGGGGUCUUCGGGCUUCCUGAAGGAAAUACCCAGGUAUUAGGUUAUGGGGCUAUAGUAAGGUUAAAGGUUUUUGGCGUUAGGGUUAAAAUCACUGUCCAAAACCUUUGUAGGAACUAUUUUCCAACCUUUUGGAGUUAGUUAGACCAAAAAAAAAACGAAAAAUGAAAAAAAAUAUUUGGGGUUUUUGGGCUUCCUGAAGGUAAUACCCGGGUAUUAGGUUUUGGGGCUAGGGUAAGGUUUAAGGUUUUUGGCGUUAGAGUUAAAAUCAGUGUCCAAAACCUUUUUAGGAACAUGUUUAAGACCUUUUGGAGUUGGUUACACCAAAAAAAAGGAAAAAAGAAAAAAAAAUAUUUGGGGUGUUCAAGUUUCCUGAAGGUAAUACCCGGGUUUUAGGUUUUGGGGCUAGGGUAAGGUUUAAGGUUUUUGGUGGUAGGGUUAAAAUCACUGUCCAAAACCUUUGUAGGAACUCUUUUCCAACCUUUUGGAGUUAGUUAGACCAAAAAAAAGGAAAAAAAAAAAAAAAUAUAUUUGGGGUGUUCGGGAUUCCUGAAGGAAAUACCCAGGUAUUAGGUUAUGGGGCUAGGGUAAGGUUUAAGGUUUUUGGCGUUAGGGUUGAAAUCACUGUCCAAAACCUUUUAAGGAACACGUUUCAGACCUUUUGGAGUUAGUUAGACAAAAAAAAAGAAGAUAAAUGAAAAAAAAAUAUUUGGGGUCUUCGGGCUUGCUGAAGGUAAUACCCGGGUAUUAGGUUAUGGGGCUAGGGUAAGGUUUAAGGUUUUUGGCGUUAGGGUUGAAAUCACUGUCCAAAACCUUUUAAGGAACACGUUUCAGACCUUUUGGAGUUGGUUACACCAAAAAAAAUGUAAAAUGAAAAAAAAUAUAUUUGGGGUCUUCGGGCUUCCUGAAGGAAAUACCCAGGUAUUAGGUUAUGGGGCUAUAGUAAGGUUAAAGGUUUUUGGCGUUAGGGUUAAAAUCACUGUCCAAAACCUUUGUAGGAACUAUUUUCCAACCUUUUGGAGUUAGUUAGACCAAAAAAAAACGAAAAAUGAAAAAAAAUAUUUGGGGUUUUUGGGCUUCCUGAAGGUAAUACCCGGGUAUUAGGUUUUGGGGCUAGGGUAAGGUUUAAGGUUUUUGGCGUUAGAGUUAAAAUCAGUGUCCAAAACCUUUUUAGGAACACGUUUCAGACCUUUUGGAGUUGGUUACACCAAAAAAAAGGAAAAAAGAAAAAAAAAUAUUUGGGGUGUUCAAGUUUCCUGAAGGUAAUACCCGGGUUUUAGGUUUUGGGGCUAGGGUAAGGUUUAAGGUUUUUGGUGGUAGGGUUAAAAUCACUGUCCAAAACCUUUGUAGGAACUCUUUUCCAACCUUUUGGAGUUAGUUAGACCAAAAAAAAGGAAAAAAGAAAAAAAUAUAUUUGGGGUGUUCGGGAUUCCUGAAGGAAAUUCCCAGGUAUUAGGUUAUGGGGCUAGGGUAAGGUUUAAGGUUUUUGGCGUUAGGGUUGAAAUCACUGUCCAAAACCUUUUAAGGAACACGUUUCAGACCUUUUGGAGUUAGUUAGACAAAAAAAAAGAAGAUAAAUGAAAAAAAAAUAUUUGGGGUCUUCGGGCUUCCUGAAGGUAAUACCCGGGUAUUAGGUUAUGGGGCUAGGGUAAGGUUUAAGGUUUUUGGCGUAAGGGUUAAAAUCACUGUCCAAAACCUUUUUAGGAACAUGUUUCAGACCUUUUGGAGUUGGUUACACCAAAAAAAAUGUAAAAUGAAAAAAAAAAUAUUUGGGGUGUUCGGGCUUCCUGAAGGUAAUACCCUUCAGGUUUAAGUAUUAGGUUAUGCGGCUAGGAUUAGGUUUAAGUUUUUUGGCGUAAGGGUUAAAAUCACUGUCCAAAACCUUUUAAGGAACAAGAUUCAGACCUUUUGGAGUUGGUUACACCAAAAAAAAUGUAAAAUGAAAAAAAAAUAUUUGGGGUGUUCAAGUUUCCUGAAGGUAAUACCCGGGUAUUAGGUUUUGGGGCUAGGGUAAGGUUUAAGGUUUUUGGUGGUAGGGUUAAAAUCACUGUCCAAAACCUUUGUAGGAACUCUUUUCCAACCUUUUGGAGUUAGUUAGACCAAAAAAAAGGAAAAAAGAAAAAAAUAUAUUUGGGGUGUUCGGGCUUCCUGAAGGAAAUACCCAGGUAUUAGGUUAUGGGGCUAGGGUAAGGUUUAAGGUUUUUGGCGUUAGGGUUGAAAUCACUGUCCAAAACCUUUUAAGGAACACGUUUCAGACCUUUUGGAGUUGGUUACACCAAAAAAAAAUGUAAAAUGAAAAAAAAUAUAUUUGGGGUCUUCGGGCUUCCUGAAGGAAAUACCCAGGUAUUAGGUUAUGGGGCUAUAGUAAGGUUAAAGGUUUUUGGCGUUAGGGUUAAAAUCACUGUCCAAAACCUUUGUAGGAACUAUUUUCCAACCUUUUGGAGUUAGUUAGACCAAAAAAAAAACGAAAAAUGAAAAAAAAUAUUUGGGGUUUUUGGGCUUCCUGAAGGUAAUACCCGGGUAUUAGGUUUUGGGGCUAGGGUAAGGUUUAAGGUUUUUGGCGUUAGAGUUAAAAUCAGUGUCCAAAACCUUUUUAGGAACAUGUUUAAGACCUUUUGGAGUUGGUUACACCAAAAAAAAGGAAAAAAGAAAAAAAAAUAUUUGGGGUUUUCAAGUUUCCUGAAGGUAAUACCCGGGUUUUAGGUUUUGGGGCUAGGGUAAGGUUUAAGGUUUUUGGUGGUAGGGUUAAAAUCACUGUCCAAAACCUUUGUAGGAACUCUUUUCCAACCUUUUGGAGUUAGUUAGACCAAAAAAAAGGAAAAAAGAAAAAAAUAUAUUUGGGGUGUUCGGGAUUCCUGAAGGAAAUACCCAGGUAUUAGGUUAUGGGGCUAGGGUAAGGUUUAAGGUUUUUGGCGUUAGGGUUGAAAUCACUGUCCAAAACCUUUUAAGGAACACGUUUCAGACCUUUUGGAGUUAGUUAGACAAAAAAAAAGAAGAUAAAUGAAAAAAAAAUAUUUGGGGUCUUCGGGCUUGCUGAAGGUAAUACCCGGGUAUUAGGUUAUGGGGCUAGGGUAAGGUUUAAGGUUUUUGGCGUUAGGGUUGAAAUCACUGUCCAAAACCUUUUAAGGAACACGUUUCAGACCUUUUGGAGUUGGUUACACCAAAAAAAAAUGUAAAAUGAAAAAAAAUAUAUUUGGGGUCUUCGGGCUUCCUGAAGGAAAUACCCAGGUAUUAGGUUAUGGGGCUAUAGUAAGGUUAAAGGUUUUUGGCGUUAGGGUUAAAAUCACUGUCCAAAACCUUUGUAGGAACUAUUUUCCAACCUUUUGGAGUUAGUUAGACCAAAAAAAAAACGAAAAAUGAAAAAAAAUAUUUGGGGUUUUUGGGCUUCCUGAAGGUAAUACCCGGGUAUUAGGUUUUGGGGCUAGGGUAAGGUUUAAGGUUUUUGGCGUUAGAGUUAAAAUCAGUGUCCAAAACCUUUUUAGGAACACGUUUCAGACCUUUUGGAGUUGGUUACACCAAAAAAAAGGAAAAAAGAAAAAAAAAUAUUUGGGGUGUUCAAGUUUCCUGAAGGUAAUACCCGGGUUUUAGGUUUUGGGGCUAGGGUAAGGUUUAAGGUUUUUGGUGGUAGGGUUAAAAUCACUGUCCAAAACCUUUGUAGGAACUCUUUUCCAACCUUUUGGAGUUAGUUAGACCAAAAAAAAGGAAAAAAGAAAAAAAUAUAUUUGGGGUGUUCGGGAUUCCUGAAGGAAAUUCCCAGGUAUUAGGUUAUGGGGCUAGGGUAAGGUUUAAGGUUUUUGGCGUUAGGGUUGAAAUCACUGUCCAAAACCUUUUAAGGAACACGUUUCAGACCUUUUGGAGUUAGUUAGACAAAAAAAAAGAAGAUAAAUGAAAAAAAAAUAUUUGGGGUCUUCGGGCUUCCUGAAGGUAAUACCCGGGUAUUAGGUUAUGGGGCUAGGGUAAGGUUUGAGGUUUUUGGCGUUAGGGUUAAAAUCACUGUCCAAAACCUUUUUAGGAACAUGUUUCAGACCUUUUGGAGUUGGUUACACCAAAAAAAAUGUAAAAUGAAAAAAAAAAUAUUUGGGGUUUUCGGGCUUCCUGAAGGUAAUACCCGGGUAUUAGGUUAUGGGGCUAGGGUAAGGUUUAAGGUUUUUGGCGUAAGGGUUAAAAUCACUGUCCAAAACCUUUUAAGGAACAUGUUUCAGACCUUUUGGAGUUGGUUACACCAAAAAAAAUGUAAAAUGAAAAAAAAAUAUUUGGGGUGUUCAAGUUUCCUGAAGGUAAUACCCGGGUUUUAGGUUUUGGGGCUAGGGUAAGGUUUAAGGUUUUUGGUGGUAGGGUUAAAAUCACUGUCCAAAACCUUUGUAGGAACUCUUUUCCAACCUUUUGGAGUUAGUUAGACCAAAAAAAAGGAAAAAAGAAAAAAAUAUAUUUGGGGUGUUCGGGCUUCCUGAAGGUAAUACCCGGGUAUUAGGUUUUGGGGCUAGGGUAAGGUUUAAGGUUUUUGGCGUUAGGGUUAAAAUCACUGUCCAAAACCUUUUUAGGAACAUGUUUCAGACCUUUUGGAGUUGGUUACACCAAAAAAAAGAAAAAAUGAAAAAAAAAUAUUUGGGGUUUCAAGCUUCCUGAAGGUAAUACCCGGGUAUUAGGUUUUGGGGCUAGGGUAAGGUUUAAGGUUUUUGGCGUUAGGGUUAAAAUCACUGUCCAAAACCUUUGUAGGAACUCUUUUCCAACCUUUUGGAGUUAGUUAGACCAAAAAAAAGGAAAAAAGAAAAAAAUAUAUUUGGGGUGUUCGGGCUUCCUGAAGGUAAUACCCAGGUAUUAGGUUAUGGGGCUAGGGUAAGGUUUAAGGUUUUUGGCGUUAGGGUUAAAAUCACUGUCCAAAACCUUUUUAGGAACAUGUUUCAGACCUUUUGGAGUUAGUUAGACCAAAAAAAAGAAGAAAAUGAAAAAAAAAUAUUUGGGGUGUUCGGGCUUCCUGAAGGUAAUACCCGGGUAUUAGGUUAUGGGGCUAGGGUAAGGUUUAAGGUUUUUGGCGUUAGGGUUAAAAUCACUGUCCAAAACCUUUUAGGAACUCGUUUCAGACCUUUUGGAGUUAGUUAGACCAAAAAAAAAUGUAAAAAGAAAAAAAAAUAUUUGGGGUGUUCGGGCUUCCUGAAGGAAAUACCCAGGUAUUAGGUUAUGGGGCUAGGGUAAGGUUUAAGGUUUUUGGCGUUAGGGUUAAAAUCACUGUCCAAAACCUUUGUAGGAACUAUUUUCCAACCUUUUGGAGUUAGUUAGACCAAAAAAAAAAGAAAAUGAAAAAAAAAUAUUUGGGGUUUUGGGCUUCCUGAAGGUAAUACCCGGGUAUUAGGUUUGGGGCUAGGGUAAGGUUUAAGGUUUUUGGCGUUAGGGUUAAAAUCACUGUCCAAAACCUUUUUAGGAACAUGUUUCAGACCUUUUGGAGUUGGUUACACCAAAAAAAAAUGUAAAAAAAAAAAAAAUAUUUGGGGUGUUCGGGCUUCCUGAAGGUAAUACCCGGGUAUUAGGUUAUGGGGCUAGGGUAAGGUUUAAGGUUUUUGGCGUAGGGUUAAAAUCACUGUCCAAAACCUUUGUAGGAACUCUUUUCCAACCUUUUGGAGUUAGUUAGACCAAAAAAAAGAAAAAGAAAAAAAAUAUUUGGGGUGUUCGGGCUUCCUGAAGGUAAUACCCCAGGUAUUAGGUUAUGGGGCUAGGGUAAGGUUUAAGGUUUUUGGCGUUAGGGUUGAAAUCACUGUCCAAAACCUUUUAAGGAACACGUUUCAGACCUUUUGGAGUUAGUUAGACAAAAAAAAAGAAGAUAAAUGAAAAAAAAAUAUUUGGGGUCUUCGGGCUUCCUGAAGGUAAUACCCGGGUAUUAGGUUAUGGGGCUAGGGUAAGGUUUAAGGUUUUUGGCGUUAGGGUUAAAAUCACUGUCCAAAACCUUUUUAGGAACAUGUUUCAGACCUUUUGGAGUUGGUUACACCAAAAAAAAUGUAAAAUGAAAAAAAAUAUUUGGGGUGUUCGGGCUUCCUGAAGGUAAUACCCGGGUAUUAGGUUUUGGGGCUAGGGUAAGGUUUAAGGUUUUUGGUGUUAGGGUUAAAAUCAAUGUCCAAAACCUUUGUAGGAACUCUUUUCCAACCUUUUGGAGUUAGUUAGACAAAAAAAAAGAUAAAUGAAAAAAAAAUAUUUGGGGUGUUCGGGCUUCCUGAAGGUAAUACCCAGGUAUUAGGUUAUGGGGCUAGGGUAAGGUUUAAGGUUUUUGGCGUAAGGGUUAAAAUCACUGUCCAAAACCUUUUUAGGAACAUGUUUCAGACCUUUUGGAGUUGGUUACACCAAAAAAAAAUGUAAAAUGAAAAAAAAUUUUUUUGGGUGUUUGGGCUUCCUGAAGGUAAUACUAGGUUAAUGGGCUAGGGUAAUGUUUAAGGUUUUUGGCGUUAGGGUUAAAAUCACUGUCCAAAACCUUUUUAAGGAACAUGUUUCAGACCUUUGGGAGUUAGUUAGAAAAAAAAAAAGAAAAAGAAAAAAAAAAUAUUUGGGGUGUUCGGGUUUCCUGAAGGUAAUACCCAGGUAUUAGGUUAUGGGGCUAGGGUAAGGUUUAAGGUUUUUGGCGUAAGGGUUAAAAUCACUGUCCAAAACCUUUUAGGAACAUGUUUCAGACCUUUUGGAGUUGGUUACACCAAAAAAAAUGUAAAAUGAAAAAAAAUUUUUUUUGGGUGUUCGGGCUUCCUGAAGGUAAUACUAGGUUUCUGGGCUAGGGUAAUGUUUAAGGUUUUUGGCGUUAGGGUUAAAAUCAGUGUCCAAAACCUUUGUAGGAACUCUUUUCCAACCUUUGAGAGCAAGUUAGACCAAAACAAAAAUAAAAAUAAAAAUAUAUAUUUGGGGUGUUCGGGCUUCCUGAAGGUAAUACCCGGGUAUUAGGUUAUGGGGCUAGGGUAAGGUUUAAGGUUUUUGGCGUUAGGGUUAAAAUCAGUGUCCAAAACCUUUUUAGGAACAUGUUUCAGACCUUUUGGAGUUAGUUAGACCAAAAAAAAAAAAAAAAGAAAAAAAUAUAUUUGGGGUCUUCGGGCUUCCUGAAGGAAAUACCCAGGUAUUAGGUUAUGGGGCUAGGGUAAGGUUUAAGGUUUUUGGCGUUACGGUUAAAAUCACUGUCCAAAACCUUUUUAGGAACAUGUUUCAGACCUUUUGGAGUUGGUUACACCAAAAAAAAAUGUAAAAUGAAAAAAAAAAUAUUUGGGGUGUUCGGGCUUCCUGAAGGAAAUACCCAGGUAUUAGGUUAUGGGGCUAUAGUAAGGUUAAAGGUUUUUGGCGUUAGGGUUAAAA